rnacentral:lncRNA from 1 species
ACAGAGCAGCACGGCUGCUCUCGCGAGAUUGGCUGACGUGGCGUGGUGCGUUGCCAGGGCAACGGCUCUGCGUCCCCGCCCCUUGCCUAGAAAAAGCGUCGGGGAGAGCGGCGUCGUGUCGUUGCGCACCAUGGGCGGAGGGGAGGAGUCUGGGUGUGUGAAUCACGUGGGACUUUCAAACGCGGAGAAGCCCAACUGCAGUGAUUUCACAGACGUGCUCACCCCAGCCAGCAGUGUCUUGAGAAGCUACAGACUCCAUGGCCAAGGAAUGAACCAUCCUAGCCUAGCAGUUGGCCAUGAACUGACGUGUUUGCUGCAAAUCCUUGUCCUCUGCCUGAAAGAGUAAGGAACUGGGAGACGUGAGACUGCUCUUCCGGUAAGGUCAUUUAUGCCUACCCUUUUUUCAUCCUGGUUUUCCUGGGGCUGAAAUGUCCAUGCUUGUGCUUUGAAGGGAGCUCUGUUGUCUGUGUGUGCAGUCCGGUGUGGCACCUGGAAACCCAGUACUGUCCAUGGUAGUGUGGUGAAUUUGCAGGUGUUGGCCUCUAUCUUUGUACUGGUGACCUGAGAUUCCAGGAUGGAUGUCAAAAAACUGCAUCAGGC